CACCAUUCUAAUUGAUUACAGAACUGCACUAAUGGUCCAAGCUAGUAUUAGCACCAGCUAUCCAGUCUGCUCAUCACAAUUUUGAUGUUCUCGCUACGAAAGCCGUAAAAAAGUAAAAGGCAACUACCUUACUCAGAAAACAAAAAAUGUUUACGAUAACAUAAAACUUGCAGCUAAUGGAGUCGCCAUGUGGAAUAACCUUC
rnacentral:lncRNA from 1 species